CCAAAGGCUCUUUUAAGAGCCACUAAUGUUAUUUUAAAAAGAGUUU
rfam:Danio rerio chromosome 25 genomic contig CTG2378, GRCz11 reference primary assembly.